UACGUAGGGUGCGAGCGUUAAUCGGAAUUACUGGGCGUAAGCGUGCGCAGGCGGUCUGUUAAGACCGAUGUGAAAUCCCCGGGCUUAACCUGGGAACUGCAUUGGUGACUGGCAGGCUUUGAGUGUGGCAGAGGGAGGUAGAAUUCCACGUGUAGCAGUGAAAUGCGUAGAGAUGUGGAGGAAUACCGAUGGCGAAGGCAGCCUCCUGGGCCAACACUGACGCUCAUGCACGAAAGCGUGGGGGAGCGAACAGGA
rnacentral:rRNA from 1 species